AUGGAUCCGGCCAUCAAAUCCUACCUCGACAAGCUAUCGGCCACGAUGGAGGCCAACACGACGGCUCUGACAGCGGUCAGCUCCCGCCUCGACGAUUUGGCGUCGUGGCGGCCCGAUCUGGAGAAGUGCGUCGCCGAUCUGGGCGAGGCGGUGGCUGCACUUCAGCAAGAGCGUCCCGGCUCCACCAACGGCGAGGGUACACAGGCGCAGGCACCAACGGCGCCACCGCCAGCGACUCGCGACACCACAACUCGUGUCGCUGAAGGCGCGGUGGACGCAACCCACGGGUCCAUUGACCACGGCGAGUUCCAUCUGCAACGGGGGUCGACGACGGUGUCAUUCCAGACACCGCCGCCACUCCCGACCAACGGUCAGCUCGAAAUCCCGUCCAAGUUCUCUUCCAUCACCUUUUGCACAUGCUAG
rnacentral:rRNA from 1 species